rnacentral:rRNA from 1 species
CCUACGGGUGGCUGCAGUAGGGAAUAUUGCUCAAUGGGGGAAACUCUGAAGCAGCAACGCCGCGUGGAUGAUGAAGGUUUUCGGAUUGUAAACUCCUUUUGUUAGAGAAGAUAAUGACGGUAUCUACUGAAUACUCACCGGCUACUCCCUGCCCAGCAGCCGCGGAAAUACGGGGGGUGCAAGCGUCACUCGGAAUCACUGGGCGUAAGGAGCGCGUCGGCGGGAUAGCAAGUCAGAGGUGAAGACCUAGGGCUUAACCAUGGAACUGCCUUUGAAACUGUUAGUCUAGAGUGUGGGAGAGGUAGGUGGAAUUCUUGGUGUAGGGGUAGAAUCCGUAGAGAUCAAGAGGAAUACUCAUUGCGAAGGCGACCUGCUAGAACAUAACUGACGCUGAUGCGCGAAAGCGUGGGGAGCAAACAGGAUUAGAUACCCCAGUAGUC